rnacentral:rRNA from 1 species
GUGGCCUACGGGAGGCAGCAGUAGGGAAUCUUCCACAAUGGGCGCAAGCCUGAUGGAGCAACACCGCGUGAGUGAAGAAGGGUUUCGGCUCGUAAAGCUCUGUUGUUGGAGAAGAACGUGCGUGAGAGUAACUGUUCACGCAGUGACGGGAUCCAACCAGAAAGUCACGGCUAGCUACGUGCCAGCAGCCGCGGGAAUACGUAGGGAGCGAGCGUUGUCCGGAUUUACUGGGUGUAAAGGGCGUGCAGCCGGGAGUACAAGUCAGAUGUGAAAUCCCGCGG